UACCUGCAGCUCAAGUGGUGAUCGUUAUUAUUGGGCCUAAAACGUCCGUAGCCGGUCUUGUAAAUGCCUGGGUAAAUCGUAUGGCUUAACUAUACGAAUUCCGGGUAGACUGUUAGACUUGAGACCGGGAGAAGCUAGAGGUACUCCUGGGGUAGAGGUGAAAUUCUGUAAUCCUAGGGGGACCACCAGUGGCGAAGGCGUCUAGCUAGAACGGGUCUGACGGUGAGGGACGAAGCCCUGGGGCGCAAACGGGAUUAGAUACCCCGGUAGUCCAGGGUGUAAACGCUGCUUGCUUGAUGUUAGUCUGGCUCCGAGCCAGAUUAGUGUCGGAGAGAAGUUGUUAAGCAAGCUGCCUGGGAAGUACGGCCGCACGACUGAAACUUAAAGGAAUUGGCGGGGGAGCACAGCAACGGGUGGAGCGUGCGGUUU
rnacentral:rRNA from 1 species